UACGGAGGGUGCAAGCGUUUGUCCGGAAUCACUGGGCGUAAAGGGCGCGUAGGCGGCUCAUGAAGGCUGUGGUGAAAGUCCGGGGCUCAACCUCGGAUCGGCCGUGGCGACUCGUGGGCUGGAGCACUGUAGAGGCGGGUGGAAUUCCGGGUGUAGCGGUGGAAUGCGUAGAGAUCCGGAAGAACACCAGUGGCGAAGGCGGCCCGCUGGGCAGUGGCUGACGCUGAGGCGCGAAAGCUAGGGGAGCAAACGGGG
rnacentral:rRNA from 1 species